rnacentral:rRNA from 1 species
AGCAGCCGCGGUAAUUCCAGCUCCAAUAGCGUAUAUUAAAGUUGUUGCAGUUAAAAAGCUCGUAGUUGAAUUUCGGGGUUAGUAGGUUGGUCAUGCCUCUGGUAUGUACUGGUCUCACUGAUUCCUCCUUCCUGAUGAGCCGUAAUGCCAUUAAUUUGGUGUUGCGGGGAAUUUGGACUGUUACUUUGAAAAAAUUAGAGUGUUUAAAGCAGGCUCACGCUUGAAUACAUUAGCAUGGAAUAACGGAAUAGGACGUUUGAUUCUAUUUUGUUGGUUUUCUAGGAUCGACGUAAUGAUUAAUAGGGAUAGUUGGGGGCAUUAGUAUUCAAUUGUCAGAGGUGAAAUUCUUGGAUUUAUUGAAGACUAACUACUGCGAAAGCAUUUGCCAAGGAUGUUUUCAUUAAUCAAGAACGAAAGUUAGGGGAUCGAAGACGAUCAGAUACCGUCGUAGUCUUAACCAUAAACUAUGCCGACUAGGGAUCGGAUGAUGUUAAUUUUUUAAUGACUCA